GCUGGUUUGGCUCAGUGGAUAGAGCGUCAGCCUGCGGACUGAAGGGUACCAGGUUCGAUUCCGGUCAAGGGCA
rfam:Myotis lucifugus cont2.18494, whole genome shotgun sequence.